GUAUAAAUAAAUAAAGUUUGCUUCUUUGUUAAAUGUCUCUAGAGAGAUCGUUGGUGGUGAACCUCUUCACGACAUUCAGAGCAGAUGAGGGAUUUUCUGGCAGUGUUACACU